rnacentral:misc_RNA from 1 species
AAAAUGGUAAAGAUGACACAACAUAAAUUAACUGAAAUGGGCAGUUAUAUGUUAUACUUUUCAAUAUUUAUUCUUAAUAGGUUAUAUAAUAUUUUGUGCUGUGUAUAAUUUGCUCGUUACUGUUGGUGAUAUCAGAUAUUUGAUCUCCAUUUUCUUUUUUCGAUAUGCUUCAAUUUCUUAUUGACCUCAAAACUCUGUUCUGCUAGUAUCUAAACUAAUUCUUGAGUUAUUCAAGAUUGUGGCUGUUAUAAUUGAUGCUAUUCUCAGCAAUUCUGAAAACUACAAAAUUAGUAAUUGGAUCCCCAUUUUUUUUUUAUGGUUAGG